GGGACAACCCGCCGAAAGGCGGGCUAAACCCGCGUACAUGCCACCGGGGCAUCCCGGAGGCAGGAAAGGCUUCGGCCGGACAGGGAUGGGCAUGCGGCGCAUUAGGCAGUAGGCGGGGUAACGGCCCACCUAACCGACGAUGCGUAGGGGUUCUGAGAGGAAGGUCCCCCACACUGAUACUGAGACACGGACCAGACUCCUACGGGAGGCAGCAGUGAGGAAUAUUGGUCAAUGGUCGGGAGACUGAACCAGCCAAGCCGCGUGAGGGAUGAAGGUACAGAGUAUCGUAAACCUCUUUUGUCAGGGAACAAAGGCGGGGACGUGUCCCCGGAUGAGUGUACCUGAAGAAAAAGCAUCGGCUAACUCCGUGCCAGCAGCCGCGGUAAUACGGAGGAUGCGAGCGUUAUCCGGAUUUAUUGGGUUUAAAGGGUGCGCAGGCGGUCUGUUAAGUCAGCGGUCAAAGCCCGGGGCUCAACCCCGGCCCGCCGUUGAAACUGGCAGUCUCGAGUUGGAGAGAAGUAUGCGGAAUGCGCGGUGUAGCGGUGAAAUGCAUAGAUAUCGCGCAGAACUCCGAUUGCGAAGGCAGCAUGCCGGCUCCACACUGACGCUGAGGCACGAAAGCGUGGGUAUCGAACAGGAUUAGAUACCCUGGUAGUCCACGCAGUAAACGAUGAAUGCAGGCUGUCCG
rnacentral:rRNA from 1 species